UAUAUAUCUUGAUGUGGUCCGCUGAAAUGGCGCCUGCGCAGUUGUCCCGCUUUACACGGCAGUACGGCCAGGUUGGUCGAAGCUUCCAAAGUUGAAGGCAGAUGAUACUUUUCGUAGCUGACCACGAUGGCGAACUUUCCACGGGCCCGAGCGGCAGGCACUGCUAUGUCCGCGCAGCGUCGAUUCCUGCAACAACGUGAAGACAGUGCAGAGGUCAGCGGUGAUUGCAAGGUGCUGCUGCCGCCGCCGAAAUGACCGCCACCGCAGGAAGGGACGCUAUAUAUCUUGAUGUGGUCCGCUGAAAUGGCGCCUGCGCAGUUGUCCCGCUUUACACGGCAGUACGGCCAGGUUGGUCGAAGCUUCCAAAUCUGAAGGCAGAUGACACAUUUCUUAGCUGGCCACGAUGGCGAACUUUCCACGGGCCCGAGCGGCAGGCACUGCUAUGUCCGCGCAGCGUCGAUUCCUGCAACAACGUGAAGACAGUGCAGAGGUCAGCGGUGAUUGCAAGGUGCUGCUGCCGCCGCCGAAAUGACCGCCACCGCAGGAAGGGACGCUAUAUAUCUUGAUGUGGUCCGCUGAAAUGGCGCCUGCGCAGUUGUCCCGCUUUACACGGCAGUACGGCCAGGUUGGUCGAAGCUUCCAAAUCUGAAGGCAGAUGACACAUUUCUUAGCUGGCCACGAUGGCGAACUUUCCACGGGCCCGAGCGGCAGGCACUGCUAUGUCCGCGCAGCGUCGAUUCCUGCAACAACGUGAAGACAGUGCAGAAGUCAGCGGUGAUUGCAAGGUGCUGCUGCCGCCGCCGAAAUGACCGCCACCGCAGGAAGGGACGCUAUAUAUCUUGAUGUGGUCCGCUGAAAUGGCGCCUGCGCAGUUGUCCCGCUUUACACGGCAGUACGGCCAGGUUGGUCGAAGCUUCCAAAUCUGAAGGCAGAUGACACAUUUCUUAGCUGGCCACGAUGGCGAACUUUCCACGGGCCCGAGCGGCAGGCACUGCUAUGUCCGCGCAGCGUCGAUUCCUGCAACAACGUGAAGACAGUGCAGAAGUCAGCGGUGAUUGCAAGGUGCUGCUGCCGCCGCCGAAAUGACCGCCACCGCAGGAAGGGACGCUAUAUAUCUUGAUGUGGUCCGCUGAAAUGGCGCCUGCGCAGUUGUCCCGCUUUACACGGCAGUACGGCCAGGUUGGUCGAAGCUUCCAAAGUUGAAGGCAGAUGAUACUUUUCGUAGCUGACCACGAUGGCGAACUUUCCACGGGCCCGAGCGGCAGGCACUGCUAUGUCCGCGCAGCGUCG